UGCCAGCACCAUGAGAUGAUCAACAAGAAC
rnacentral:piRNA from 1 species